ensembl:lncRNA
CACUGGGUGGGGGAGAGGCUUAUAAAGAUGAGAUGCUCAGGGAAUACUGAUCUAAACCAUCAUCCCUUGAUUUAAACUUUCACUGUAGGUUUCACACUUUUUCUUGUGGAGGCAAGGAGAAUCAGUGGGAACUGCCUUUAUGAGAGCUCAUAAUGCCAUGGUUGCUUCUCUGUUCGGAGCUUUCUCAGGGAGAAACAGUGAAGUUAGGGGAGGUUUCCGUUAAUUCUAGAACUGCUGCAGAGCACCCCUGUCGUCUGCCGGGAGUCAUGUCCAGCUGCUCUUAGGCCAGCUCAGGACCAGAUCAUCAAAUAGCUAUAAAACUGAACAGCCUCAUCAACUGCAAUGGAGAAAGAUUGAUUUCUUAAGCUUCUGUUUAAAUCAUAAAGAACAGCAUGACUUUUUAGAGCUACUGCCCUCUGCUUCUUCGCUUGAAAAACUUUACUCUAUGAAGGGACAAAUCUUGCUCCCUAAUGCAAAGAGUAACACUGAUCAUAAAAGAACUAAUCUCAAAUUAUAAAAAUUGAAAAGGAUGUCAACCUUGAAUGGGUGCAAACAAUGAUUUGCUUUGUUUUACUUAACAGGUUUUGUUCCUAUCAUGUCUCCAUAUAGCAGUUACUAUUUUGAGUAGCAACACUACCUGAAAAUGUGCUAACUGAUAGUUCUGUGCUGAGAUACCGUUAUAUGUAGACUGUGUUUUUCUUCCUACCUGUUCUUUGUCCAGUUUUCUAAACUACUUGUGUAAUGACAUGCAAAUUUCUGAGCAUUUAUUGCAGAAGAGGAAGUAUUUUAUUUCGGGGUCAGGGUGGGUUAUUAUUUUAUUUUAUUGAUUCAUUAAUUUAUAUGCACAUUAACUAAGAACUGAUACUUUAUUACCUGGUUGUUCCUUACAUGUUGGUUUAUUCAUUUGCAAUUGAUUUUUAUAUCUCAGGGAAAUUUGCUUUGUUGUAACAGAAAAGAUAAAGUGGAACAAUUUCCACGUUAUAUCAAAUUGUUCUGAUCUCUCUUUGGAAAAAUCUAUAAAAUGAGGUGGAAAUAAAGGCUGUAACUCAGUAACUGAUAUACA